GAUGAACGCUGGCGGCGUGCUUAACACAUGCAAGUCGAACGGUGAAGGCGGAGCUUGCUCUGCUGGAUCAGUGGCGAACGGGUGAGUAACACGUGAGCAAUCUGCCCCUGACUCUGGGAUAAGCGCUGGAAACGGCGUCUAAUACUGGAUACGAGCUGCGAAGGCAUCUUCAGCAGCUGGAAAGAAUUUCGGUCAGGGAUGAGCUGGCUGCCUAUCAGCUUGUUGGUGAGGUAAUGGCUCACCAAGGCGUCGACGGGUAGCCGGCCUGAGAGGGUGACCGGCCACACUGGGACUGAGACACGGCCCAGACUCCUACGGGAGGCAGCAGUGGGGAAUAUUGCACAAUGGGCGAAAGCCUGAGGCAGCAACGCCGCGUGAGGGACGACGGCCUUCGGGUUGUAAACCUCUUUUAGCAGGGAAGAAGCGAAAGUGACGGUACCUGCAGAAAAAGCGCCGGCUAACUACGUG
rnacentral:rRNA from 1 species